CCUACGGGAGGCAGCAGUGGGGAAUAUUGCACAAUGGGGGAAACCCUGAUGCAGCGACGCCGCGUGAGUGAAGAAGUAUUUCGGUACGUAAAGCUCUAUCAGCAGGGAAGAAAAUGACGGUACCUGACUAAGAAGCCCCGGCUAACUACGUGCCAGCAGCCGCGGUAAUACGUAGGGGGCAAGCGUUAUCCGGAUUUACUGGGUGUAAAGGGGGCGUAGACGGCAGCGCAAGUCUGAAGUGAAAUCCCAUGGCUUAACCAUGGAAUUGCUUUGGAAACUGUGGAGCUGGAGUGCAAGAGAGGUAAGCGGAAUGCCUGGUGUAGCGGUGAAAGGCAUAGAUAUUAGGAGGAACACCAGAGGCGAAGGCGACUUGCUGGACUGUAACUGACGCUGAGGCUCGAAAGCGUGGGGAGCGAACAGGAUUAGAUACCCUAGUAGUC
rnacentral:rRNA from 1 species